rnacentral:lncRNA from 1 species
CCCGGAAGACAAAAAAACUAGAAAACCCAAACAGCUAAAGAAUCUAUAAAAAAAAUAGGCCAAACAUAUGAUCCAGACAAUUAAUUUAUUUUUAUUCAAUUGUAUAGUAUUUUCCUCUAUAAUAAGAUGCACGCUAGAAUUAUAGCAAAAGCAAAUAAAUCUGUAAUGGAAACUAUAAAAUAAAAUGAAAGUAAUGAGCAUGCAGAAGCAAGAGUAACAUAAACAAACAUGAAAUAUGUGUACAUAUAUAAAGAACAACUGUAACAUCACAUUGGAACAACUGGUGCCACAUUGUGACCUCAGUUCUAAAGGUGACAAUAAUUGAAAG